rnacentral:rRNA from 1 species
GAUGAACGCUGGCGGCGUGCCUAAUACAUGCAAGUCGAACGGGGAGUAGCAAUACUCUUAGUGGCGAACGGGUGAGUAACGCGUUGGUACCUGCCCCGAAGCGGGGGAUAACAGACCGAAAGGUCCGCUAAUACCCCAUGUGCUCGGUAACGAGUAAAGGUGAAAACCACUUUGGGAGGGGCCUGCGUCCCAUCAGCUAGUUGGUAAGGUAACGGCUUACCAAGGCGAUGACGGGUAGGGGACCUGAGAGGGUGGCCCCCCACAAUGGAACUGAAACACGGUCCAUACACCUACGGGUGGCAGCAGUAGGGAAUAUUGGUAAUGGGCGCAAGCCUGAACCAGCAACGCCGCGUGGGCGAUGACGGCCUUCGGGUUGUAAAGCACUUUUGACUGGGACGAGGAAGGACGGUACCGGUCGAAUCAGCCUCGGCUAACUACGUG